ensembl:lincRNA
CCACCUUACUCCAUGUGUUCACUCCUGAGACAACUUUGAUUGGACAGGCUUGGAUCACAUGACCUGAAUCUGGUGCACGAGGACGCUCAUUGAUCUGGAAUACACUCAUUCAGUAGUCUGGCUGGCUGCUGAGUCCCGGGGAUCCUCCUGUCUCUGCCUCUCUAGUGCUGGGAUCACAGAGACCUGCCUGCCACCUUGUUCAGGUUUUUGCCACCUGAGUUCUAGGGAUUGAACCCAGAAAUAUGAAAAAUGAAUUGGUUCCACAGAGCACUUUUGGCUGUUGGAAAUAGAAGGAGAGGAAUGUGGAGGUCAUCAGCUCACAGUGAUCACGGAAGGCUUGGCCUACCUUCAGGGCCAGGCCCAGAACUAGAACAAAUGGGGCUUCAGCUCCUGAAUGUCUUCCAGCUGCAGGAGCACUUUCCUCUGGCGAUAAACCAAUCUCUUA